AGAGAGCGCGUGUUCCCGGCUAGAGGCGCGGAGCUGGCGGAGGGGCCGAAGCGGGCCCGGUCUCUCCGGAGGCGGGAGCGGGGGGUGGCCCGGGGCGGAGCCGGAGUCUGCAACUCCGACGGGAGGCUAAGGUGGUCAUUUGGGGUCACCAGGGCCCAUUUAAAGGGAAUCAUCAGGAAAGCCUCAGCCGGAGCCCUCGGCGUUGUUCCACAGCAUCUCCGACGAGCGCGGCGGUGCUGCAAACUUGAGCAAUUCGCCUUUCUGCUCGCUGCAAGCCUCCCCUAUGCAGGCCCGUCUCUGCUUCUCGCGGAUCCCCCACCCGCUGCCAGCAGUGCAGGGAGGGCACAAGGUGCAGAUGUACCCCGCUGCCCCGGGUGCGUCUGAGCCUUAGCAGGUAACCUUAACUCAUCACGUCUCCGCGGGGAUGUUAAACAACUGACACCGGAGUGUUGUGGUGCUCCGACAUAGAAUGGUGAAAUCUCUGUAUAAUGUAUAAGCAUCUUGUAAAUUAAGUUUUCAUGUAUCUGAAAAUACCUAUUGCCAACAAUACAAUCGAAUGGGGAUUUUUUUUGGGGGGGGAAUCAUAUACCUACUGCAGUAUAAAAUUAAUAAGGGAGGGGCAUCGUUAUAGAUCUAAAAGGUGCGUGAAGUUGCAUUUUAACAGGAAAUAAAAGACUAUCUGGAAACGAUCAAAUUAUAUAUUUAGAAAAAACUCAUUUUGGUAAUUUUUCAAAUGUUUUUUAAUGUUGUUAGUUAUCUAGCAGAUUAGUUGGAAUAAUUAUUCUUAACCCCAAAAUUAGAAAUUUGUAUGCUGUGUGUUCUAAAUGUGGUUACAACUGCAGUCCAAACUUGGGACUGAAUAAGCGGCAAAGCACUGGCCAAUCGCAAGAGGAGUCUGUCACUUGCAGCCAUGAUCUGGUCCUGACAUGCAGCAUGGUAAUGUUAACCUCUUCAGGAAGCACCUAGGAGGGAGGGGUGUGUGGAAUAGAGAUUAAGGCUGGAAUGGAGUUUUGAAAGUGUACAGUACUGGUAGCCCUAGUGGUGUGGAGUGGAAGUGCCAUUUGGGUAGCAAGUAUCUACCCAAUUGUGUUUAAAACAUGUGCUGCCUUUUUUAACAUGUACAGUUAAAAAACAUAGGUGCCACUGAUAACUCUGUUGCAUAGCACUUGCUACGUAACAGAACCCUGGGCUAUGUGAUAUCUUGACACCUGAAAUUUACUAAGGGUUUGGCUGCCAGAGCUGACACUGGAAGGAACUGCAUGCAUCAGAGCAAUAAAGGAGAAUUGUAAAUCACGCCUACAACAUGUGAAGCAGCCCCAAGUGAACUCAAACUAGUGGCAGAUGUUUACUAGGAAGAACAAUAGCUCCAUGUCACACUGAUCUUUACAAAAUAAAACCAUUCUCCCAAACCAGUGCUUCAGGUAACAGAGGUACAAUUUAGAAGUAUCAUGAAAAUGCAAAAGAGCAAUGAUGUCUAUUGGGUCUUACAGAUAUACUGAGUGAAAGCAGAAAAGUGAUCACUAAUGAGAAAAUAGAUGCCUAUAAUGAAGUAGCAAUCACCAUCCUGAACAGCAGCUCAAAAAAAGAGAGCAAAAGCUAAAGUAAUUUUUUCCAGUGUAAUAAUAAUAAUGCAAUACAGUAUAUAUUAACAAGCUAGAAGAAAAGCAAGAGUCUGCCCAGAAAGAACUGCUGUAUAUUGUACUCUUGGAAUUAUGAACGGCCUGGGAGGGCCAUGUUUUCAUGGGUGUGCUGACCUUUUGGUAUACAGCAGAGGGCACUGUCCCUUCACUUCUGGCAACAUUAAUACAACUUGCCUUACUAGCGUAUCUUUCAGCCUUCAUUAAUUUUAUGGACAUUGGCCAAAUGCAGACUGAAGUAUUAGAGUCUUGUCCCUUCCAUUUUGGGAAGCAGCUGGCUAUUUUGAAAUGCACUAUUUCGUACAAAAUGAGCAGAAAUUAGCUAUUUUGUACGAAAGGUGUUUCAAAAGACAUUUUUGGAUCUACACAUGCCUCCUAAUGGCCCAAUUGAUUUUAUUUCAAUAUCUGCUUUUUGCCAGUGCCUUCAAAUUCUUUCAGGCUAUGUGAUCUUCAUCACCAGCUUCUCUUCAGUGCUUCCUGCUAGCCCAGCCAUCCACCUUCUCCUGAAAGAGCAACUCUAGGGGCUCAUCCGCAUGGGAAUUUAAUGUGGAUUUGAAACUGCAUGUGCCUUGGUUUUGGGGCGUUGUCCACAUGACGUUCUCCCCAUUCAACUGACAGCCUAUGGUUCUUCAACGCUAAACUUGGAUUUUCAUGAUCAAGGUGAAAGCCAAAAUGGGAGAGUAAUUUCAAUAUAAAAUUGUUUGUUUCCUGAUUGUGAAUGCACCUGGAGCACAUUUUGUGGGUGGGCCUUCGACAUGUUUCUCUGGUGCCAUCUAUUGCCACCAUCCACCCACUUCCAUUUUGCUUCCAUCAGCUGAUAUGGAAGGAUGCAUGCUCCCAGUAUCAUUGUUUUUGAAAUUUUAAAACAUCUGUUUUGCACAGAAGAGAUCUUGCACAAAACAGCUGUAUUAAAAAUAAAAAUUGCCCUUGCAAGUAGAGGAGGCGGUGAAGGAAUAGGGGAGGAAAGGAAGCAGCAGCCUUUCAUGUGAGUGACUCCAAAUCCUUGCUGGGCUUGGAACAGCAGAGGUCUUAAAAAAUAUUUUUACAGUUUUGUGCAAAUCUGGAAUGUUAGGAAACUUGUAUUUCAAAUAUACAUCCCAGGAAGCACCAAGAUAGAUUUUGAAAGUACCUACUCCUGUGUGGACAAAGGCACACAAACCUGCACACAGAAACAGUGACCCAAAUGCGCAGGAAUGUGUGGACACAGUCUGCUUCUUUUUGUUCUGAAUAUGAUAACCAACUUGAUAGAACAACAGUUUUUCAGAGACCCUAGUUUGAAAAAUGUUUGUGCAGUGACUUGUCUCCAACUUCUCUGUAGCAAUGCUUCCCAAUAGACCUCUGGACUUUCAUAGCUUCUUUCCUCCAAACAAAAACAAAGCUUUUAUUUUUCAUCCCUAAGUGUUUAUCUGAAACUGUCCCAUAAUGAUUACAUCCCGGUCAUAUUACCAAUUGGCUAUAUACCUAUCACAUUUCUCUGUAGUAACGACUACAUGAAGACAUCUUUAAUGCUUCAGUAAAACAAAUACAUCCAAUAGGCUGCCUUUAAACUCUGAGUUGCCAUCACCUUGUGACAAGCUGUAUCCUACCCAACUGUAUGAUUCUUCCCGGACUCACAUUUAGUUUAGAAGGGUACAGUAAGUGUCAUUGACAAUAGGAGUGACUCCCAAGCAGACUAAGGCAUAGAAUCUUAGAGUAGGAAGGGGCCCAAGGGUCAUCUAGUCCAACCCCCUGCAAUGCAGGAAUCUCAGCUAAAGUAUCCGUGACAGAUGGUCAUCCAAUCUCUGCUUUAAAACUUCCAAGGAAGGAGAGUCCACCACCUCUCGUGUGAGUCUGUUCCACUGUCAAACAGCUCUUACUGUCAGAAAGUUUUUUCGAAUGUUUAGUCAGAAUCUCCUUUCUUGUAACUUGAAGCCAUUGCCUCAAGUUCUACCCUCCAGAGCAAGAGAAAACAAGCAUGCUCCCUCUUCCAUAUGACAGAACUUCAGAUAUUUGAAGAUGGCUAUCAUAUCUCCUCUCAGUCUCCUCCAGGCUAAACAUACCCAGCUACUUCAAGCGUUCCUCAUAAGACUUAGUUUCCAGACACUUGAUCAUCUUGGUUGUCCUCUUCUGCACAAAUUACAGCUUGUCAACAGCCUUCUUAAAUUGUGGUGCCCAGAACUGGACACAGUACUCCAGGUGUGGUUUGACCAAGGCAGAGUAGAGUAGUACUAUUACUUCCUUUGAUCUGGACACUAGACUUCUGUUGAGGCAGCCUAGAAUAGUGUUAUCUUUUUUUGAUGCUGCAUCACACUAUUGUCAUGUCUUAAGAGCUGCUUCAGGCUCCCUCUGCUGAAUGAACAAAGCAAAUAUUUGUUGUUUUUAAAAGUGAUUGGUAGCUAUUUUGAAAGAGGGGGCUGUCAGUAAGCAAGGACAGGCCUACCCCUCUAGACGUGUGAGGAUAGUAUUGCUGACCAGGAUGGCUGUAGAUAAUUGAAGAUGCAUCACAGCAGUUUCAGCUGGAUGCCAAAGGUGGCAAUAAGCAGAAUUGUCGCAGGAAAUGUUGCAGGCAUAUGUUAACCACCAGAGGGCUUACCUUGCAGGAAAUGGGAAAAAAGAGAGUGGAAGAACACCAUACGAACAUAAUAAAGUCAUACCUCAUG
rnacentral:lncRNA from 1 species